rfam:Ficedula albicollis isolate OC2 chromosome 2, whole genome shotgun sequence.
CCCAGCUUAGCUCAGUUGGUCAGAGCAUGGUGCUAAUAACACCAAGGUCAUGGGUUCAACCCCUGUAUGGGC